rnacentral:rRNA from 1 species
UACGAAGGGGGCUAGCGUUGCUCGGAAUCACUGGGCGUAAAGCGCACGUAGGCGGAUUGUUAAGUCAGGGGUGAAAUCCUGGAGCUCAACUCCAGAACUGCCUUUGAUACUGGCGAUCUCGAGUCCGGGAGAGGCGAGUGGAACUGCGAGUGUAGAGGUGAAAUUCGUAGAUAUUCGUAAGAACACCAGUGGCGAAGGCGGCUCACUGGCCCGGUACUGACGCUGAGGUGCGAAAGCGUGGGGAGCAAACAGGG